rnacentral:rRNA from 1 species
GAUGAACGCUGGCGGCGUGCCUAAUACAUGCAAGUCGAGCGAACAGACGAGGAGCUUGCUCCUCUGACGUUAGCGGCGGACGGGUGAGUAACACGUGGAUAACCUACCUAUAAGACUGGGAUAACUUCGGGAAACCGGAGCUAAUACCGGAUAAUAUAUUGAACCGCAUGGUUCAAUAGUGAAAGACGGUUUUGCUGUCACUUAUAGAUGGAUCCGCGCCGCAUUAGCUAGUUGGUAAGGUAACGGCUUACCAAGGCAACGAUGCGUAGCCGACCUGAGAGGGGGAUCGGCCACACUGGAACUGAGACACGGUCCAGACUCCUACGGGAGGCAGCAGUAGGGAAUCUUCCGCAAUGGGCGAAAGCCUGACGGAGCAACGCCGCGUGAGUGAUGAAGGUCUUCGGAUCGUAAAACUCUGUUAUUAGGGAAGAACAAAUGUGUAAGUAACUAUGCACGUCUUGACGGUACCUAAGCAGAAAGCAACGGCUAACUACGU